GACGAACGCUGGCGGCGUGCUUAACACAUGCAAGUCGAGCGGUAAGGCCCUUUCGGGGGUACACGAGCGGCGAACGGGUGAGUAACACGUGGGUGACCUGCCCUCAGCUCUGGGAUAAGCCUGGGAAACCGGGUCUAAUACUGGAUAUGACUCCAUGACGCAUGUUGUGGGGUGGAAAGCCUUGUGCGGCUGAGGAUGGGCCCGCGGCCUAUCAGCUUGUUGGUGGGGUGANGGCCUACCAAGGCGACGACGGGUAGCCGGCCUGAGAGGGCGACCGGCCACACUGGGACUGAGACACGGCCCAGACUCCUACGGGAGGCAGCAGUGGGGAAUCUUGCGCAAUGGGCGAAAGCCUGAUCCAGCGACGCCGCGUGGGUGAAGAAGGCCUGCGGGUUGUAAA
rnacentral:rRNA from 1 species